rnacentral:rRNA from 1 species
UACGGAGGGGGCAAGCGUUAUUCGGAAUCAUUGGGCGUAAAGGGCGCGUAGGCGGCUUCAUAAGUCUUGGGUGAAAGCCCUCGGCUCAACCGAGGAAUUGCCUUGGAUACUGUGAAGCUCGAGGCUGGAAGAGGCUAGUGGAAUUCCCGGUGUAGCGGUGCAAUGCGUAGAUAUCGGGAGGAACACCAGUGGCGAAGGCGGCUAGCUGGGCCAGUUCUGACGCCGAGGAGCGAAAGCAUGGGGAGCGAACAGG